rnacentral:rRNA from 1 species
CUUGCUUCUCUUGAGAGCGGCGGACGGGUGAGUAAAGCCUAGGAAUCUGCCUGAUAGUGGGGGAUAACGUUCGGAAACGGACGCUAAUACCGCAUACGUCCUACGGGAGAAAGCAGGGGACCUUCGGGCCUUGCGCUAUCAGAUGAGCCUAGGUCGGAUUAGCUAGUUGGUGAGGUAAUGGCUCACCAAGGCGACGAUCCGUAACUGGUCUGAGAGGAUGAUCAGUCACACUGGAACUGAGACACGGUCCAGACUCCUACGGGAGGCAGCAGUGGGGAAUAUUGGACAAUGGGCGAAAGCCUGAUCCAGCCAUGCCGCGUGUGUGAAGAAGGUCUUCGGAUUGUAAAGCACUUUAAGUUGGGAGGAAGGGCAUUAACCUAAUACGUUAGUGUUUUGACGUUACCGACAGAAUAAGCACCGGCUAACUCUGUGCCAGCAGCCGCGGUAAUACAGAGGGUGCAAGCGUUAAUCGGAAUUACUGGGCGUAAAGCGCGCGUAGGUGGUUUGUUAAGUUGGAUGUGAAAUCCCCGGGCUCAACCUGGGAACUGCAUUCAAAACUGACUGACUAGAGUAUGGUAGAGGGUGGUGGAAUUUCCUGUGUAGCGGGUGAAAUGCGUAGAUAUAGGAAGGAACACCAGUGGCGAA